UUCAAGUCCUCCGCCACCCCUGCCGCUCCCGUCAGAGGCGUCACCUCAUCCGACGUCACUGUGGAUCCCGCUCGCAAACUCUGGUUCCGCCUCUUCGUCCCCCAGUCCACGUUGUCGACUCCAUCUGAUCUACCCGUCAUCGUAUUCUUCCACGGCGGAGGAUUCACCUUCCUCAGCCCUGCCUCAUUCGCAUACAACGCCGUUUGCCGCAAGUUUGCUCGGAAAUUCCCCGCUGUUGUCGUCUCUGUCAAUUACCGCCUCUGCCCCGAACACCGGUACCCUUCCCCAUACGACGACGGGUUCGACGUCCUUACCUUCCUCGACCAAAAUGAUGACGUCCUCCCCAAAAACGCAGACAGAUCCAGAAUCUUCUUGGCCGGGGACAGCGCGGGAGCCAACGUGGCCCACCACGUGGCGGUUCGGGCCGCCCGCGAGAAGGAUCGAAUGCGGGUCGUGAAACCUGUGGGGUUGAUAUCGAUACAGCCGUUUUUCGGGGGAGAGGAGCGGGUUGAGUCUGAAAUCCGGCUACGCGGAGCUCCUCUGGUAUCGGUGGGCCGAACGGACUGGCUGUGGAAGGUGUUUUUGCCUGACGGGUCGAACCGGGACCACGAGGCGGCGAACGUGAGUGGGCCGAACGCGGUGGACAUAUCGGGUCUGGAGUAUCCGAAUACGAUUGUAUUCACUGGGGGAUUGGAUCCGCUACUAGACAGGCAGAGGAGGUACUACCAGUGGUUGAAGAAAUCGGGGA
rnacentral:lncRNA from 1 species